UGCUUUGCUUAACACCAACUGACAGACUC
rnacentral:piRNA from 1 species